CCUACGGGUGGCAGCAGUAAGGAAUAUUGGACAAUGCCCGCAAGGGUGAUCCAGCCAUGCCGCGUGCAGGAAGACGGCCCUAUGGGUUGUAAACUGCUUUUGUACCGGAGAAAACCUUUCCCUGCGGGGAGAGCUGAUCGUACGGUGAGAAUAAGCAUCGGCUAACUUCGUGCCAGCAGCCGCGGUAAGACGAAGGAUGCAAGCGUUAUCCGGAUUCAUUGGGUUUAAAGGGAGCGUAGGCGGUCUAAUAAGUCAGUGGUGAAAUCUCUCGGCUUAACUGAGAAAUGGCCAUUGAUACUGUUGGACUUGAGUACAGAUGCCGUUGGCGGAAUAUGACAUGUAGUGGUGAAAUACAUAGAGAUGUCAUAGAACACCGAUUGCGAAGGCAGCUAACGAAACUGUAACUGACGCUGAGGCUCGAAAGUGUGGGGAUCAAACAGGAUUAGAUACCCCUGUAGUC
rnacentral:rRNA from 1 species